UACGUAGGGGGCAAGCGUUGUCCGGAUUUAUUGGGCGUAAAGAGCGUGUAGGCGGCCGUACAGGUCAGCUGUGAAAACUCGAGGCUCAACCUCGAGACGUCGGUUGAAACCGUACGGCUAGAGUCCGGAAGAGGAGAGUGGAACUCCCGGUGUAGCGGUGAAAUGCGCAGAUAUCGGGAAGAACACCCGUGGCGAAGGCGGCUCUCUGGGACGGUACUGACGCUGAGACGCGAAAGCGUGGGGAGCGAACAGG
rnacentral:rRNA from 1 species